ensembl:lncRNA
GUUUGUCUGUGUCUGACUUCACUCAGCACAACAAUCUCUAGGUCCAUCCAUGUUGCUGCAACUGGUAUUAUCUUUUUCUGUUUUUCUUAAGUACCUGUUUCAAAACUCUAAAACUCAAGGUCUGUGGACAACGGAAGUUGUUCCUAUUCACUGCUGGUUGAUGCUAAGUCCCACAAUACAGAGCCUUGGUCUUGGACUCGCUGAAAACACAAGGAGCCUGGUGUUCAGGUGGCAUGGCGCCACACACUGCCGUGGAUUGCCUCUGCCGGGUCAGCUCAGCUCUGCAUCUAUAGAAGACUCACUUGGGCCUUUGGUCUUUUAUAUCUAUGCAAUAUAAAAAAUAGUCAUCAUGUGCCAUAACAAAACUGGUAGUGAAUCAGAUGGAUAAGAAAAAUAAAUGAAUAUCACUAAGAAAAAGGCAGAGUGUGGUGAAUACCCCAAGAGAGGCAAAAUGUGCUUCUGCAGAAGGGAGCAGUCAUGGCAGCCUUGGGAAAAUGAGGGGAAGGGAUAUUUGACAUCAGUGCUGAAGAAGUGAAUUUCAAACUCUGUUACUGACUUCCUUUCUCUUCCUUUUUCAAAUCAAAGUCCACGUUGGCAUCUUUGCACAUUUUUUGCCUAAUAUUUUGCCUAAAAUAUUCUUUCUCCCAUUUCUCUUCCUUCACAUAGCUCAUCUAUUUAAACCUCUUAAGAAAGUGAAGUCACUCAGUCAUGCUGCAGUCCAUGGGGUUGCUAAGAGUUGGACACGACUGAGCGACUUCUCUUUCACCUUUCACUUUCAUGCAUUGGAGAAGGAAAUGGCAACCCACUCCAGUGUUCUUGCCUGGAGAAUCCCAGAGACGGGGGAGCCUGGUGGGCUGCCGUCUAUGGGGUUGCACAGAGUCGGACACGACUGAAGUGACUUAGCAGCAGCAGCUUGUCUACUGAAGGACAAACCCAUUUCAAGCUUUGUUUCCUACUGUAUCUGAUGUACUUAGCAAGUUCUCAGUAAAUAUUUGAUGAGUGAAUGAACCCCAAAGGAGAGCUAAAGCUAUAGAAUUUAUGGGAAAGGAGUCUUGAAAGAAACACAGAGAAAUUUAAUAUUUGUAGGAAGUGACGUGAUCAGAUGCAUGGCUUUGAGAGGUUAAUCUGAUAGCUCUAUAUAAGCAGCUUGGAAACUUGAGAAGAAGAAAGAAUUAAACCUGUAUUACAUAGGAAGAAGCCUAGUGCAGCCUACUCUAUACUAUUUGCAACUUUUUAAGACUAUUUCAAAAUAAAAAGUGAAAAAUUGUACUGUAGUAUUCUUAAGUUAUAAUCAUGAUUAAAAUUUCAAAAGUAAUGAAAUGGAAACAUAUGGAAAAUAAUUAAGGAGAAAAGUGUUGAAUAUGCCUAAAUUUAGUGUGCUUUGCUUUACACAUUUGCAUUAAUGUGAGCUUGCUGUUUAGAUAUUUAUUAGCAUGCUCAAAUUGAGUGCUUUGAACUUCAGUAGCCAACAAUGUGCAGAAAUAUACAAUAAGCCAUUGCUCUAUCAUCCAUCUAUUAAUCAGUAGCAGUUGCUUAUAGAUAUGAGCUGCAGUUGAUGGCUUGGCACCUCAGGCCACAUUCUCGGUGCUCACCUCAAAUUUCAUCCAUGUUGUCACUUUGCACUGAUAGCAUUUGACCUCAAGAUCCCUGUGUAUCUUUCUACCUUCUUUGAAGCUGCAGGAGCCCUCUUGGUCCACAUGUAAACACAGCCCAGAAUUACAGAGCAC